rnacentral:rRNA from 1 species
UUCGCGCGCCCGAGAGGGAAACGCCCGGUCACAUUCCGAACCCGGAAGCUAAGACUCUCUGCGCCGAUGGUACUGCAAGGGGGACCUUGUGGGAGAGUAGGACACCGCCGGAC